rnacentral:rRNA from 1 species
AUUGAACGCUGGCGGCAUGCCUUACACAUGCAAGUCGAACGGUAACGGGCCUUCGGGUGCCGACGAGUGGCGAACGGGUGAGUAAUACAUCGGAACGUGCCCGAUCGUGGGGGAUAACGAGGCGAAAGCUUUGCUAAUACCGCAUACGAUCUACGGAUGAAAGCAGGGGACCGCAAGGCCUUGGGCGGACGGAGCGGCCGAUGGCAGAUUAGGUAGUUGGUGGGAUAAAAGCUUACCAAGCCGACGAUCUGUAGCUGGUCUGAGAGGAUGAUCAGCCACACUGGGACUGAGACACGGCCCAGACUCCUACGGGAGGCAGCAGUGGGGAAUUUUGGACAAUGGGCGCAAGCCUGAUCCAGCCAUGCCGCGUGCAGGAUGAAGGCCUUCGGGUUGUAAACUGCUUUUGUACGGAACGAAAAGCCUUCUUUUAAUACAGGAGGGUCAUGACGGUACCGUAAGAAUAAGCACCGGCUAACUACGUG